UUCUCCUACUUCAAUAAGCAUGACAAUUGGUUCCAGGAAUGGAAUGACUUCCACAUCAUCAAUGCCAAGGUGACAUCCCAGAAAAAAGAUCAAGAUAAGCAGCAACAAAUGUAGAUGGAGGCCACUAGGUGUCUGAACCUUGAUUAGUACCACUGAGCAAGACAAGACAGGGCAGGAGAACAUGUAAACUGAGACAGGAUUUGUAAACCAAGAAACUCCAAAGGGCUGGAAAUUGGGGCAAAAUAUUGGACAACAAACGUUACCAGGUACACAGAAGGAAAAGAUGAGGUUUUGUUGCAGAAGCCAUGGAGCUUGACUCAUAUUCUUGCCAUGACAAAGGACAGCUUCCCUUCAACAUGGAGGAGGACUAAAGAACACCUGCAAGCAGGGUUGAAAUUAAUCUCAAAAAGAAGCUGUUCAAACCAAUAUAAGUGAAGCCUAAAAAUAAUUCUUUACUAAAUUCCUGUUUCUUUUGACUACUAGAAAAUAAAACAAACAACUUUAAAGAGAAA